rnacentral:rRNA from 1 species
UUGUGGGAGCAAGAGCCCGGAGAUGGAUUCUGAGACAUGAAUCCAGGCCCUACGGGGCGCAGCAGGCGCGAAAACUUUACAAUGCGGGGAACCGCGAUAAGGGGACACCGAGUGCCAGCAUCCUAUGUUGGCUGUCCAUAUGUCUAAAUCACAUGUGUUAGCAAGGGCCGGGCAAGACCGGUGCCAGCCGCCGCGGUAACACCGGCGGCCCGAGUGGUGGCCACUAUUAUUGGGUCUAAAGGGUCCGUAGCCGGUUUGGUCAGUCUUCCGGGAAAUCUGACGGCUCAACCGUUAGGCUUUCGGGGGAUACUACCAGGCUUGGGACCGGGAGAGGUAAGAGGUACUACGGGGGUAGGAGUGAAAUCUUGUAAUCCCCUGUGGGACCACCAGUGGCGAAGGCGCCUUACCAGAACGGGUCCGACGGUGAGGGACGAAAGCUGGGGGCACGAACCGGAUUAGAUACCCGGGUAGUCCCAGCUGUAAACUAUGCUCGCUAGGUGUCAGGGACGGUGCGACCGUUUCUGGUGCCGCAGGGAAGCCGUGAAGCGAGCCACCUGGGAAGUACGGUCGCAAGGCUGAAACUUAAAGGAAUUGGCGGGGGAGCACUACAACGGGUGGAGCCUGCGGUUUAAUUGGAUUCAACGCCGGG